rnacentral:rRNA from 1 species
UACGUAGGGUGCAAGCGUUUGUCCGGAAUCAUUGGGCGUAAAGCGCGUGUAGGCGGCUUGGUAAGUCCGCUCUGAAAGCCCGGGGCUCAACCCCGGGAGGCGGGUGGAUACUGUCAAGCUCGAGUCCGGAAGAGGCGAGUGGAAUUCCUGGUGUAGCGGUGGAAUGCGCAGAUAUCAGGAGGAACACCGGUGGCGAAGGCGGGUCUCUGGGCAGUAACUGACGCUGAGGCACGAAGGCCAGGGGAGCAAACGGG